ACCAUCCUAAGGUAGCGAAAUUCCUUGUCGGGUAAGUUCCGACCUGCACGAAUGGAGUAACGAUUUGGGCGCUGUCUCCACCACGAACCCGGUGAAAUUGCAUUACGAGUAAAGAUGCUCGUUACGCGCAGCAGGACGGAAAGACCCCGGGACCUUUACUAUAGUUUGGUAUUGGUGAUCGGUGUGACUUGUGUAGGAUAGGUGGGAGACUGUGAAACCGGGACGCUAGUUCCGGUGGAGUCAUCGUUGAAAUACCACUCUGGUCACUCUGGUUAUCUAACCUAGGACCGUUAUCCGGUUCAGGGACAGUGCCUGAUGGGUAGUUUGACUGGGGCGGUCGCCUCCUAAAAGGUAACGGAGGCGCCCAAAGGUUCCCUCAGCCUGGUUGGCAAUCAGGUUACGAGUGUAAGUGCACAAGGGAGCUUGACUGCGAGACUGACGGGUCGAGCAGGGACGAAAGUCGGGACUAGUGAUCUUCUGGUAGCGAAUGGAAGCGCCAGGACUCAACGGAUAAAAGGUACCCCGGGGAUAACAGGCUGAUCUUGCCCGAGCGUCCAUAGCGACGGCAUGGUUUGGCACCUCGAUGUCGGCUCGUCGCAUCCUGGGGCUGGAGUCGGUCCCAAGGGUUGGGCUGUUCGCCCAUUAAAGCGGCACGCGAGCUGGGUUUAGAACGUCGUGAGACAGUUCGGUCCCUAUCCGCUGCGCGCGUAGGAGUCUUGAGAAGGGCUGUCCUUAGUACGAGAGGACCGGGACGGACCAACCUCUGGUGUGCCAGUUGUUCCGCCAGGAGCACGGCUGGUUGGCUACGUUGGGAAAUGAUAACCGCUGAAAGCAUCUAAGCGGGAAGCACGCUUCAAGAUGAGGACUCCCACACCAACAAGGUGGUAAGGCCCCCUGCAGACCACAGGGUCGAUAGGUCGGACGUGGAAGCACAGUAAUGCGUGAAGCUGACCGAUACUAAUAGGCCGAGGGCUUGCCACA
rnacentral:rRNA from 1 species